rnacentral:rRNA from 1 species
CGUCUCUUUUGACGACGAUGGUGUUCCGGUCACCGCCGAUUCUUCGGUGGGAGGCUUGACCCACAAAACGACCUUGACCUCAAAUCGGGUGAGACUACCCGCUGAACUUAAGCAUAUCAAUAAGCGGAGGAAAAGAAACUAACAAGGAUUCCCCUAGUAACUGCGAGUGAAGCGGGAAAAGCUCAAAUUUAAAAUCGGAUGGCCUUGGCCCUUCGAGUUGUAAUUUAGAGAAGCGUAUUCCGCGCUGGACCGUGCACAAGUCUCCUGGAAUGGAGCGUCAUAGAGGGUGAGAAUCCCGUCUUUGGCACGGACGCACCAGGGCUUUUGUGAUGCGCUCUCGAAGAGUCGAGUUGUUUGGGAAUGCAGCUCAAAAUGGGUGGUGAACUCCAUCUAAAGCUAAAUAUUGGCGAGAGACCGAUAGCGAACAAGUACCGUGAGGGAAAGAUGAAAAGCACUUUGGAAAGAGAGUGAAACCGUACGUGAAAUUGUUGAAAGGGAAACGCUUGAAGUCCGUCGCGUCGACCGAGACUCAGCCUCGCCUCGGCUUGGUGUACUUUUCGGUUGACGGGUCAGCAUCAAUUUUGCCCCUUGGAUAAUGGCGAGGGAAAUGUGACACCUUUGCGGGUGUGUUAUAGUCUCUUGUCGCAUGCAAGGGUCGGGAUUGAGGAACUCAGCACGCGCCUUUUGGGCGUCGGGGCUU